rnacentral:rRNA from 1 species
UACAGAGGUGGCAAGCGUUGUCCGGAAUUACUGGGCGUAAAGAGCGCGUAGGUGGCUAGAUAAGUCCGGUGUGAAAUCCUUCGGCUUAACCGGGGAAUGGCAUCGGGGACUGUUUAGCUAGAGGACGGGAGAGGAGAGCGGAAUUCCCGGUGUAGCGGUGAAAUGCGCAGAUAUCAGGAGGAACACCGGUGGCGAAGGCGGGUCUCUGGGCCGAUACUGACGCUGAGGAGCGAAAGCGUGGGGAGCGAACAGG